CCAUUUUUUAUCUAUGAUGACUCUGUUAUAAAUUUAAUAUACUUUUAACUUUGUACAUUAAUCUUUAUAAUAUUUUUCGUACUGCAAUGCUAUUACUUUUUAUUGUUGCGAAAUAUUCGAUUUUACAGUAAUUCAACUUUGUAAUUAUUUUUAUUAAUACAGCUACCUCGAUUUUCCAGACUCGAAAGAUGCUACUGUUCUUCGGGAUGUUCCUGAAGACCUCGCCGCCGGAGUCAUCGCUGCGACAGCUCCUGUCAUCCUGCGAGAUGGCGUGCGAGCCAAGGUUUCGCAACGAACGCGCUUCGCGAGCGUACUGAAAACUGGGAUACCAGAGCUCGCGAGAGGAUCUCCGCCUCGCAGGUGCAUUCGAGUGCGUGCUCGAACUCACUUGACGCACCGCACGCAGCCUCGGCCGGAAGAGCGCUUAGCACAUUAAAUAAGUUUACUUUAAUUUAGCACACGUAUGCUUUCCAACAUAACUACCUGGAGAGAUAUCCUUUAGAUUUCUAAAAGAUAUCUAUGCCGCACGUCUCUUGAAAUGCCUUGAACUUUUUUUUGGAAAGUUUAGAAGAGUAGUUCAAGUAUUAUCUUUAAUACUUUUUUUUUAGAUGCCUUUUCGAUAUCUAGAAAUGCCUUGAGAAUAUUCUGUAGAAAUCUAAAAGACAUUUUGUGAUAAAUAUCUUAAUGAUAAGUAUUUUUUGAGAUAUCUAUAGAUAUUGUUUAGAAAUUCUACAAAGAUAAUUUCAACAAAAUCCUUUUGAACACUUUGGAUAUUUUCUAAAAAUGCUUGAACAUGUCUUUUACAUGUAUUAUAUUUAUAUUUUUUUCGCAAAAUAAUUAUUAUGAGACCUCGACGUUUUUUAGGUAUACAUAGCUGUAUAAAUAAAUAGUAAAUAUAUGUAUAUCGAAAUAUGUAUUGUUCGAUUCGUGACAAAAGACAAAGCGGCGUUUACGAGUUAAGCGCAGUAAAGUAAAAUUUAAUUAAUAUUAAUAACGAUUAUUAAUCAAAUUUA